rnacentral:lncRNA from 1 species
AUGCCUCUUCUGUGCACUCUGAUAUGGUCACUUAUUCUGCUACCUCUUGGGUUUGGCUGCGAAAGCCAAAAGUCCAAAGAAGACAUUGCAAUGGAUUAUUCCAACAUCAUACAAAAACGUAUCGAGAACAUUUUAAAUGACAGAGAACUGAGUGAAACAACCUGCAAACCGGCCAACAGAAACGAAUGCAAGAAUGUCUCACCACAGAUUCUGAACAGAGUGGUUUGUAGACAUUCAAAGACAGAUUUUUAUCACAUGACUUCCCAAGUGAAAACCCUCACAGAGUUAAUACAUGUUUCCUUCGGAUGCGCAUGCGAAGAGAAGGAUGGGAAAAAAAAGCCACAGCGGAGCUUGCAGAGGAAACUUUGCACACUGAAACACUGGCUGGAGAGGAUAAAGGACCUAUACAGUCAGUUCAACUCUUCUUGAGUUAAAGGACAGCAGGACAUUUUCAUGAUGAGUCAAGGCUGUCAAUGUAAACUUAACUGUGCAACCACUACUUAUGGACAGAGGAAGGACACUUGUUCAGAGAGGAAAGAAGAGGCCACUUCUCUUGCGCUUCUGGCCAAAUACAUGGAGAAAACGACUGUGCGAAUGUAUAUCAGUGACUUUGGUUGAUGGAUGGUGGAACCCUUUCUUGACUACCGUUUUUGGUUUCAAGACAACCUUUUUUUCUCACACAGCCACUCCACCAAGAAAGUGCUUUAUUGCUGAUAAAACCAGUGUAGAAAAUGCCUAAACUUGCCAGCACCAUUUAGGAUGGAUAUCAAGCCAUAUGUAUGUAAGAACUGUAACUAGAAGAUGUACAAAUUUAAAUGACAGUAGACUAUGAACACUGCAUUACUGAAGAAUACAUACCUGUACAUGACGUAACAAGUCUCUCGUGUUAUAGCCAUUCACUCUCUCACACACUAUGUAACUAUGCAGUCUGUGUGAUUAUGCUAUGUUAAAAAUUGCAUGGUAGAGAAUACUCAUUUUAAUACAUAAAAAAUAAUACAACUUUUUGUUAUGAGUAAUACAUGUUAAACCAAUUUAGUAGUGUUAGGGAGUUAGGAGAGCAUUGGGUUAAUUUUGAUGCUGAACAAUAUCAAAAAGUAUCACAAUAGACUACACUCAGUCAAUCCAGAUUCAGC